rnacentral:tRNA from 1 species
GGACUCUUAGCUCAGUUGGUAGAGCAUCUGGUUUACACCCAGAGUGUCAUCGGUUCGAGUCCGGUAGAGUCCA